rnacentral:lncRNA from 1 species
AGCUUUCUCGACGAUGGCAAGAUCGAAACCAACUGCUGUCGACUCUGAAACUAAGAAAAAUCAAAAGUCGGCAAACAGACGAUGUGCGGUGCGAUGACAGUUCUGUUUUUGGGUUAUACCAAAGAUGUUGGUUUAUACUUGGAUGCCUGGAAUCUAGGUCGGUAACUAUACCGAUUCCACCCUUAUUUUGUAGUGAUGGGACUUCAAAGUGGG